UGGGGAAUCUUAGACAAUGGGGGCAACCCUGAUCUAGCCAUGCCGCGUGAGUGAUGAAGGCCUUAGGGUCGUAAAGCUCUUUCGCUGGGGAAGAUAAUGACGGUACCCAGUAAAGAAACCCCCGGCUAACUCCGUGCCAGCAGCCGCGGUAAUACGGAGGGGGUUAGCGUUGUUCGGAAUUACUGGGCGUAAAGCGCGCGUAGGCGGAUCGGAAAGUUGGGGGUGAAAUCCCGGAGGCUCAACCCCGGAAUUGCCUUCAAAACCUCCCGGUCUUGAGGUCGAGAGAGGUGAGUGGAAUUCCGAGUGUAGAGGUGAAAUUCGUAGAUAUUCGGAGGAACACCAGUGGCGAAGGCGGCUCACUGGCUCGAUACUGACGCUGAGGUGCGAAAGCGUGGGGAGC
rnacentral:rRNA from 1 species